rnacentral:rRNA from 1 species
CGACGAUCAGUAGCCGGCUUGAGAGAGUGGACGGCCACAUUGGGACUGAGACACGGCCCAAACUCCUACGGGAGGCAGCAGUGGGGAAUAUUGCACAAUGGGGGAAACCCUGAUGCAGCGACGCCGCGUGAGUGAAGAAGUAUUUCGGUAUGUAAAGCUCUAUCAGCAGGGAAGAAAAAAGACGGUACCUGACUAAGAAGCCCCGGCUAACUACGUGCCAGCAGCCGCGGUAAUACGUAGGGGGCAAGCGUUAUCCGGAAUUACUGGGUGUAAAGGGUGCGUAGGUGGCAUGGUAAGUCAGAAGUGAAAGCCCGGGGCUUAACCCCGGGACUGCUUUUGAAACUGUCAUGCUGGAGUGCAGGAGAGGUAAGCGGAAUUCCUAGUGUAGCGGUGAAAUGCGUAGAUAUUAGGAGGAACACCAGUGGCGAAGGCGGCUUACUGGACUGUCACUGACACUGAUGCACGAAAGCGUGGGGAGCAAACAGGAUUAGAUACCCUGGUAGUCCACGCCG